UGGGGAAUCUUCCGCAAUGGGCGAAAGCCUGACGGAGCAACGCCGCGUGAGGGAUGAAGGCCUCUGGGCUGUAAACCUCUUUUCUCAAGGAAGAAGAUCUGACGGUACUUGAGGAAUAAGCCACGGCUAAUUCCGUGCCAGCAGCCGCGGUAAUACGGGAGUGGCAAGCGUUAUCCGGAAUUAUUGGGCGUAAAGCGUCCGCAGGCGGCCUUUCAAGUCUGCUGUUAAAACGUGGAGCUUAACUCCAUCAUGGCAGUGGAAACUGUUGGGCUUGAGUGUGGUAGGGGCAGAGGGAAUUCCCGGUGUAGCGGUGAAAUGCGUAGAUAUCGGGAAGAACACCAGUGGCGAAGGCGCUCUGCUGGGCCAUAACUGACGCUCAUGGACGAAAGCCAGGGGAGCGAAAGGGAUUAGAUACCCCUGUAGU
rnacentral:rRNA from 1 species